GGCUCAGAUUGAACGCUGGCGGCAUGCCUUACACAUGCAAGUCGAACGGUAACGCGGGGCAACCUGGCGACGAGUGGCGAACGGGUGAGUAAUACAUCGGAACGUGCCCAGGUAGUGGGGGAUAGCCCGGCGAAAGCCGGAUUAAUACCGCAUACGACCUACGGGUGAAAGCAGGGGACCGCAAGGCCUUGCGCUAUUGGAGCGGCCGAUGUCAGAUUAGGUUGUUGGUGGGGUAAAAGCCCACCAAGCCGACGAUCUGUAGCUGGUCUGAGAGGACGACCAGCCACACUGGGACUGAGACACGGCCCAGACUCCUACGGGAGGCAGCAGUGGGGAAUAUUGGACAAUGGGCGGAAGCCUGAUCCAGCCAUGCCGCGUGUGUGAAGAAGGCCUUAUGGUUGUAAAGCACUUUAAGCGAGGAGGAGGCUACUGAGACUAAUACUCUUGGAUAGUGGACGUUACUCGCAGAAUAAGCACCGGCUAACUCUGUG
rnacentral:rRNA from 1 species